rnacentral:piRNA from 1 species
UUCAAAUUGACGCUUUGUGAA